GACAGCCAGGAUGUUGGCUUAGAAGCAGCCAUCAUUUAAAGAAAGCGUAAUAGCUCACUGGUCGAGUCGGCCUGCGCGGAAGAUGUAACGGGGCUAAACCAUGCACCGAAGCUGCGGCAGCGACGCUUAUGCGUUGUUGGGUAGGGGAGCGUUCUGUAAGCCUGUGAAGGUGGCCUGUGAGGGUUGCUGGAGGUAUCAGAAGUGCGAAUGCUGACAUAAGUAACGAUAAAGCGGGUGAAAAGCCCGCUCGCCGGA
rnacentral:rRNA from 1 species